ACAUAUCAAUAAGCGGAGGAAAAGAAACCAACCGGGAUUGCCUCAGUAACGGCGAGUGAAGCGGCAAAAGCUCAAAUUUGAAAUCUGGCUCCUUCGGGGUCCGAGUUGUAAUUUGCAGAGGAUGCUUCGGUUGCGGCCCCCAUCUAAGUACCCUGGAACGGGUCGUCAUAGAGGGUGAGAAUCCCGUAUGGGAUGGGGUGUCCGCGUCCGUGUGAAGCUCCUUCGACGAGUCGAGUUGUUUGGGAAUGCAGCUCUAAAUGGGUGGUAAAUUUCAUCUAAAGCUAAAUACUGGCCGGAGACCGAUAGCGCACAAGUAGAGUGAUCGAAAGAUGAAAAGCACUUUGAAAAGAGAGUUAAACAGCACGUGAAAUUGUUGAAAGGGAAGCGCUUGCGAUCAGACUCGCCUACGGGGUUCAGCCGGCUUUCGGGCCGGUGUACUUCCCCGUGGGCGGGCCAGCGUCGGUUUGGGCGGCCGGUCAAAGGCCCCUGGAAUGUAGCGCCUCUCGGGGCGCCUUAUAGCCAGGGGUGCAAUGCGGCCUGCCUGGACCGAGGAACGCGCUUCGGCACGGACGCUGGCAUAAUGGUCGUAAGCGACCCGUCUUGAAACACGGACCAAGGAGUCUAACAUCUACGCGAGUGUUCGGGUGUCAAACCCGUGCGCGGAGUGAAAGCGAACGGAGGUGGGAGCCCCCUCGCGGGGCGCACCAUCGACCGAUCCUGAUGUCUUCGGAUGGAUUUGAGUAAGAGCGUAAAUGUGGGGACCCGAAAGAUGGUGAACUAUGCCUGAAUAGGGCGAAGCCAGAGGAAACUCUGGUGGAGGCUCGCAGCGGUUCUGACGUGCAAAUCGAUCGUCGAAUUUGGGUAUAGGGGCGAAAGACUAAUCGAACCAUCUGGUAGCUGGUUCCUGUCGA
rnacentral:rRNA from 1 species